AUUGAACGCUGGCGGCAGGCUUAACACAUGCAAGUCGAGUGGGGGAAGGUAGCUUGCUACCGGACCUAGCGGCGGACGGGUGAGUAAUGCUUAGGAAUCUGCCUAUUAGUGGGGGACAACAUCUCGAAAGGGAUGCUAAUACCGCAUACGUCCUACGGGAGAAAGCAGGGGAUCUUCGGACCUUGCGCUAAUAGAUGAGCCUAAGUCCGAUUAGCUAGUUGGUGGGGUAAAGGCCUACCAAGGCGACGAUCUGUAGCGGGUCUGAGAGGAUGAUCCGCCACACUGGGACUGAGACACGGCCCAGACUCCUACGGGAGGCAGCAGUGGGGAAUAUUGGACAAUGGGGGGAACCCUGAUCCAGCCAUGCCGCGUGUGUGAAGAAGGCCUUAUGGUUGUAAAGCACUUUAAGCGAGGAGGAGGCUACUCUAGUUAAUACCUAGGGAUAGUGGACGUUACUCGCAGAAUAAGCACCGGCUAACUCUGUGCCAGCCGCCGCGGUAA
rnacentral:rRNA from 1 species